UAGGGAAUCUUCCGCAAUGUGCGAAAGCCUGACGGAGCAACGCCGCGUGAGUGAUGAAGGUCUUCGGAUCGUAAAACUCUGUUAUUAGGGAAGAACAAAUGUGUAAGUAACUAUGCACGUCUUGACGGUACCUAAUCAGAAAGCCACGGCUAACUACGUGCCAGCAGCCGCGGUAAUACGUAUGUGGCAAGCGUUAUCCGGAAUUAUUGGGCGUAAAGCGCGCGUAGGCGGUUUUUUAAGUCUGAUGUGAAAGCCCACGGCUCAACCGUGGAGGGGCAUUGGAAACUGGAUAACUUGAGUGCAGAAGAGAAAAGUGGAAUUCCAUGUGUAGCGGUGAAAUGCGCAGAGAUAUGGAGGAACACCAGUAGCGAAGGCGACUUUCUGGUCUGUAACUGACGCUGAUGUGCGAAAGCGUGGGGAUCAAACAGG
rnacentral:rRNA from 1 species